rnacentral:rRNA from 1 species
AAACAGGAUUAGAUACCCUGGUAGUCACGCCGUAAACGAUGUCUACUUGAAGGUUGUGGCCUUGAGCCGUGGCUUUCGGAGCUAACGCGUUAAGUAGACCGCCUGGGGAGUACGGUCGCAAGAUUAAAACUCAAAUGAAUUGACGGGGGCCCGCACAAGCGGUGGAGCAUGUGGUUUAAUUCGAUGCAACGCGAAGAACCUUACCUACUCUUGACAUCCAGAGAAUUCGCUAGAGAUAGCUUAGUGCCUUCGGGAACUCUGAGACAGGUGCUGCAUGGCUGUCGUCAGCUCGUGUUGUGAAAUGUUGGGUUAAGUCCCGCAACGAGCGCAACCCUUAUCCUUGUUUGCCAGCACGUAAUGGUGGGAACUCCAGGGAGACUGCCGGUGAUAAACCGGAGGAAGGUGGGGACGACGUCAAGUCAUCAUGGCCCUUACGAGUAGGGCUACACACGUGCUACAAUGGCGUAUACAGAGGGCUGCCAACCAGCGAUGGUGAGCGAAUCCCACAAAGUACGUCGUAGUCCGGAUCGGAGUCUGCAACUCGACUCCGUGAAGUCGGAAUCGCUAGUAAUCGUGAAUCAGAAUGUCACGGUGAAUACGUUCCCGGGCCUUGUACACACCGCCCGUCACACCAUGGGAGUGGGCUGCACCAGAAGUAGAUAGCUUAACCUUCGGGAGGGCGUUUACCACGGUGUGGUUCAUGACUGGGGUGAAGUCGUAACAAGGUAACCGUA